rnacentral:rRNA from 1 species
CAACGACACCACGUUGAAACACCGGUCUCCAUACGAUCGUCGACGUUAAGCAACGUUGAGCUUGGUCAGUACCUAGAUGGGUGACCGCUUGGGAAUACCAGGUGCUGUAAG